rnacentral:rRNA from 1 species
GACGAACGCUGGCGGCGUGCUUAACACAUGCAAGUCGAACGGAAAGGCCCUGCUUUUGUGGGGUGCUCGAGUGGCGAACGGGUGAGUAACACGUGAGUAACCUGCCCUUGACUUUGGGAUAACUUCAGGAAACUGGGGCUAAUACCGGAUAGGAGCUCCUGCUGCAUGGUGGGGGUUGGAAAGUUUCGGCGGUUGGGGAUGGACUCGCGGCUUAUCAGCUUGUUGGUGGGGUAGUGGCUUACCAAGGCUUUGAUGGGUAGCCGGCCUGAGAGGGUGACCGGCCACAUUGGGACUGAGAUACGGACCAGACUCCUACGGGAGGCAGCAGUGGGGAAUAUUGCACAAUGGGCGGAAGCCUGAUGCAGCAACGCCGCGUGCGGGAUGACGGCCUUCGGGUUGUAAACCGCUUUCGCCUGUGACGAAGCGUGAGUGACGGUAAUGGGUAAAGAAGCACCGGCUAACUACGUG